ACGGGGAUGUGCGAUCUCCCCGCGAGGCGACAUGCCCAAGCAUCGCGUCCCUGGAUCACCAAGGGCGCCGCAUG
rnacentral:ncRNA from 1 species